rfam:Nereida ignava strain CECT 5292 genome assembly, contig: contig000014
GGGCACCUUCGGGGGCCUAUAACUUCCGGUUCUGAUGGCGAAAGCCGAAUGAGCCGCAAAGCAAAUGGAAGACAGAAA